rnacentral:rRNA from 1 species
UACAGAGGUCUCAAGCGUUGUUCGGAUUCAUUGGGCGUAAAGGGUGCGUAGGCGGCGCGGUAAGUCGGGUGUGAAAUCUCGGAGCUUAACUCCGAAACUGCAUUCGAUACUACCGUGCUUGAGGACUGGAGAGGAGACUGGAAUUUACGGUGUAGCGGUGAAAUGCGUAGAUAUCGUAAGGAAGACCAGUGGCGAAGGCGGGUCUCUGGACAGUUCCUGACGCUGAGGCGCGAAAGCGUGGGGAGCGAACAGG